rnacentral:rRNA from 1 species
GAUGAACGCUGGCGGCGUGCCUAACACAUGCCAGUCGAGCGAAGCAGCCCAACUUGCUGGGUGGAUUAGUGGCCAACGAAUAGGUAACUCGUGAAUAACCUGCCCUUAACUCGGGGAUAAGCCUAGGAAACUGGGACUAAUACUGGAUAUGGCUUCUCAUAGCACGGUAGGGGGUGGAACGCAUUAUUGGUCUUGGAUGGAUUGGAGGCCUACCGCCUUGUUGGGGAGGUACUGGCUAACCAAGGCGUGGACGGGUAGCCGACCUGAGAGGGUGUCCGGCCACACUGCGCCUGAGAGACGGCCCAGUAUCGUACGUGAGGCAGCAGGCGGGAGUAUUGCACAGUAGGCGCAAGCCUGAUGCAGCGGCGCUGCGUGAGUGAUGACCGCCUUUGGGUUGUGAACGUCUUUCAGUAGAGAAGAAGCGGGAGUGACGGUACCUGCAGAAGAAGCGCCGGCUAACUACGUG